rnacentral:rRNA from 1 species
CCUACGGGAGGCAGCAGUGAGGAAUAUUGGUCAUUGGACGAGAGUCUGAACCAGCCAAGUAGCGUGAAGGAUGACUGCCCUAUGGGUUGUAAACUUCUUUUAUAUGGGAAUAAAAUGUUCCACGUGUGGGCUUUUGUAUGUACCAUAUGCAUAAGUAUCUGCUAACUCCGUGCCAGCAGCCGCGGUAAUACGGAGGAUCCGAGCGUUAUCCGGAUUUAUUGGGUUUAAAGGGAACGUAGGUGGAUUGUUAAGUCAGUUGUGAAAGUUUGCGGCUCAACCGUAAAAUUGCAGUUGAAACUGGCAGUCUUGAGUACAGUAGAGGUGGGCGGAAUUCGUGGUGUAGCGGUGAAAUGCUUAGAUAUCACGAAGAACUCCGAUUGCGAAGGCAGCUCACUGGACUGCAACUGACACUGAGGCUCGAAAGUGUGGGUAUCAAACAGGAUUAGAUACCCCAGUAGUC